rnacentral:rRNA from 1 species
CCUACGGGCGGCAGCAGUGGGGAAUAUUGCACAAUGGGCGAAACCCUGAUGCAGCGACGCCGCGUGAGUGAAGAAGUAAUUCGGUAUGUAAAGCUCUAUCAGCAGGGAAGAAAAUGACGGUACCUGAGUAAGAAGCCACGGCUAACUACGUGCCAGCAGCCGCGGUAAUACGUAGGGGGCAAGUGUUAUCCGGAUUUACUGGGUGUAAAGGGAGCGUAGACGGCAGUGCAAGUCUGGAGUGAAAGGCGGGGGCUCAACCCCCGGACUGCUCUGGAAACUGUACGGCUGGAGUGCAGGAGAGGUAAGUGGAAUUCCUGGUGUAGCGGUGAAAUGCGUAGAUAUUAGGAGGAACACCAGUGGCGAAGGCGGCUUACUGGACUAUAACUGACGUUGAGGCUCGAAAGCGUGGGGAGCAAACAGGAUUAGAUACCCGUGUAGUC